rnacentral:rRNA from 1 species
UACGACUACAUAUCAGGCAUAUCAAUAAGCGGAGGAAAAGAAACUAACUAGGAUUCCCUUAGUAACGGCGAGUGAAGCGGGAAGAGCUCAAAUUUGAAAUCUUCAAGGUUUUACCUUGACGAAUUGUAGUUUAAAGAAGUGUUUUCUGUUGGAGUUUUGGUAAAAGUUCUUUGGAAUAGGACAUCAUAGAGGGUGAGAAUCCCGUAUUUGACCAUUAUUUUCAGCUGUGUGAUACACUUUCAAAGAGUCGGAUUGUUUGGGAAUGCAGUCCAAAAUGGGUGGUAAAUUUCAUCUAAAGCUAAAUAUUGGCGAGAGACCGAUAGCGAACAAGUACCGUGAGGGAAAGAUGAAAAGAACUUUGAAAAGAGAGUUAAACAGUACGUGAAAUUGUCAAAAGGGAAGCGUUUGACACCAGUGUUGUUUUCUCGAAAAUCAAUUAAAAAAGGUUAGGAUUUUGUGUUGUAUUGACCUUAUCAGCUUGCUUGCACUCUUUUCCUAGCUUUUUUAAUGCACUUUUCGUUUAACAAGUCAACAUCAAUUUCUUUUGUUGUAAAAGGGUCAUUGGAAGGUGGCUUUCUUUUCGGAGAAAGUGUUUAUAGCCUUUGAUCUCUGCAAUCGGAGAGACUGAGGUCUGCAGCGUAGAUCCUUCGGGGUUAGAUACAUUUGUGCUAAGCUAUCAGCUUUUCAUAGACAACUUGUUGACUAUGAUUAGUCAUUGUAGCUUACCCGCUUAUGCUAUUUUACCUACGCUUAGGAUGUUGAGCGCAUGUCUCUCUCU